UACGUAGGGUGCAGGCGUUAAUCGGAAUUACUGGGCGUAAAGCGUGCGCAGGCGGCUCCUUAAGUCAGAUGUGAAAUCCCCGGGCUUAACCUGGGAACUGCGUUUGAAACUGAGGAGCUCGAGUGUGGAAGAGGGGGGUGGAAUUCCAGGUGUAGCAGUGAAAUGCAUAGAGAUCUGGAGGAACACCGAUGGCGAAGGCAGCCCCCUGGGCUAACACUGACGCUCAUGCACGAAAGCGUGGGAGCAAACAGG
rnacentral:rRNA from 1 species